ACUUUUUUUUUUUUUUUUUUUUUUUUUUUUUUGCUUUUUGCUUUUUAGCGCCGCACCCAUGGCAUAUAGAGGUUCCCAGGCUAGGGGUCCAAUCGGAGCUGUAGCUGCCGCCUACACCACAGCUCACGGCAAUGCCGGAUCCUUAACCCACUGACUGAGGUCAGGGGUCAAACCCGCAUCCUCAUGGAUCCUAGUUGGAUUUGUUCGCGCCACGAUGGGAACUCCAGAUUGUCUUUGAUUUAAAUGCAUUUAAAUUGCUUUAAAGCCAUACUAAAGGAAGACGAGAAUUCUCACUCUUAAUCUUAUAGACCGAUGAGAAGGGAGUAAGUGCUAUGAGAGGUUUUCCUUCUCCUGUAGCUGUUUUAUUUAUACUCAUUCUUACCAGGUACCCUAGUGAUCCUUUCCACAGGUUGGGUCCAGGAGUUCCCAUCGUGGCGCAGUGGUUAAUGAAUCUGACUAGGAACCAUGAAGUUGCGGGUUCGAUCCCUGGCCUUGCUCAAUGGGUUAAGGAUCCGGCGUUGCCGUGAGCUGUAGUGUAGCUCGCAGAUGCGGCUCAGAUCCCGUGUUGCUGUGGCUCUGGUGUAGGCCAGCAGCUUGUGGCUCUGGUGUAGGCCAGCAGCUACAGCUCCGAUUCGACCCCUAGCCUGGGAGCCUCCAUAUGCCGUGGGAGCAGCCCUAGAAAAGGCAAAAAGACAAAAAAAAAUUAGAAAAAAAAAAUAGGUCAGGUCCAUUUCUAACAUGGUGAUGCUCACCUCCGAGGCUUGCUGGUCCAGGCCUUGCAAAGGGACAGCUUUGGAGUAUGUAAGGGAGAGUAGGUUAGAAAGAAAAGGUAACAGGCACUCCCAUAAUCCCAUAGUACGGCCAAAGAUGCUCAUUCCACCAAAACCUGUAAGACAAGAGUUUUCCUGAAGAACGUCCCUCCAGAACAUCAGCAAGUUUCCACGGAUUAAUAUACAUUAACACGUGUUCAGAUAAAUUCCUGGGUACCAGAUGCUGCCAAGUCAGAACGUGAGACAGCGUGGAGGUGACGGAGAAGGCUGGAGUGAGGUUUAUACCAAAGACGGGAGAGACAGGGCAGCAGAGCCCAGUCUUGUCCUAUGGCAGUGAAGUCAUUUAUUCACAAUUGAAAGAUGAAGAUGCAUCAACACGAGCUCUGAGGAAGAAGAAGAAAAGGAGACACGGAGACUCCCAAAUAAACAUCUGCGAAGCACUACGUGAACGCCCCCAAACCUAGAAAGAAAGAAAAAAAAAUCAAGCCUUUAAAAAAGAAGAGAGGCAGAUCGGAAAAGAAAAAAAAAAAAAAAAGCAUCAAAAAACAACAGCCUCCAUUUCUUAACAUGGAUACUCAGGUGCCCUGACUGCUCUCAGCCUUUUCAGGUCAAUGUCAUGGUCGUUUCUUCUUUCUCUUUGAUUCAGAGAUUAGCUGAGCAUAUUAAUACAUAUGUUUCCCACUUCCUGCCCACACACUGUUAUCUCAGUUUCUUCAAGGUCUCACAAUGAGACAAGGGCAACUUCUUUAAAAACCAAUGCCCUCUUCCUAGCCAGCGGUCCGAGAGUCACUUCCUGUUGUCAUGUAUGGACAGCACCAGUGUCUGCCUGCAGUCCACAGGGGUGGAUCACGCUUUGUCCGAGGAUUUGGAUUUGAACAAGGCAGAAGAGGGCCCGGCUUUCAUGGAGCUUGAGCUCCAGUUGAGAGAGACAGAUGCUCAAGAAGGAAAUAAACAUUCAGUGACUGUAGAGGGUGAGACAUGUCCCCUAACAGAUAACACAGCGUAACGGGCUAGACUAGAGUCAUAUCCGAUAGCACUGUUCGAACCAGAACGGCGAGAAGGAACGCACUGUGAGCGGAUUUGGGGAAAGAACUGAAAAUACAAAAUCUUUGGGGCAAAAACAAGCUUGGCAUGUUCAAAAAAAAGAAAAAGGCGAAAAUGGCUGAGGUACAAAUAAAAACAAGUAAAUAUGAGAUGAACGAGAAAAUAUAGGUGGAGGCCAGAUCUUGUAGAGCUUUCUAGGUCAGAGCAAGGAAUUUCAUCUACUAGAAAUUCCAUUUUGGGCGGGGGGGGCUGCGCCCACAGCAUGCAGGAAUUCCUGGGCCAGGGACUGAACCCAAGCCAUGGCAGUGACCCAAGCAACACCAGUGGCAAGGCUGAAUCCUCAACCUGCUGAGCCACCAGGGAACUCCAAGAAAUUCCAUUUUUAAUAGAUUUCUUAUUCUACCCCAGAAAAAUAGCUCUAGGCUCAUACUUGGCGUGGCAUAUAUUAGAAAUCUGUUUGGAGGCAAACUGUUUUGAAAGUACCUUUGGUUUUAAUUAGUUUAGCAUUUUAAUUUUGAGAAAGGAUGAGAAACCUUAAUAAGAACGUUUUCCAUUUGGGUGUUUAAAUCUGUACCAUCAUGUUACAUUAAAAUCGUUCCUGGUGUGUUAAUUAAUAAUUAUCUCAGGAAUAUUGCAAAUGUGAAAGGCCACUGUGAUUCAUCAGCUUCAUUUGAGCUCACACUCCUUUUAAAAAUUCUAUUAAUUCUGAUUACCAACAACAAAACCAUUUCAUUUCUUAAAAGGGACACUGUUAUUACACAAAGGGCCUUUCAUCGAAGUGAAUGCAUUCGCUGUAACAAGCCUUAAAAUUUGUUUUUAUUUUUCAAAGUGCAUUUUGUCAAACGUUUUGCCUGUAUUGAACUCAGCACUUGUUCAGAUGACCAACAGGUCUGACCGUCCCCUCCCCACGUUUCCACUUGCGAAUGCAAAGAACUGAGCUCUGGGAAGGGCAGGAGUGAGCAGAGUUCAGGCUGGGGUGGCUACGUGAGCUUGCAGUUGGGACCAAAGCCGCCGCGUGGAAAUGCACUUUCGUGCACAGAAAUGGUCUUUACUAUUCUCACUUAGUGCUGGAUGAACAUCCCUUGAAAUGUUAACAAGCUGCAAUGUUGAUGGCAAUUUAGGACACGUGAAGAAGUUUGGGGUGGGGAUGGAGGUCCCGUUGUGGCUCAGCGGGUUACGAAUCCAACUAGUAUCCAUGAGGAUGCAGGUUCCAUCCCUGGCCUCACUCAGCAGGUUAAGGAUCCAGCGUUCACGCUGGUGCUGAACUGACUAGAAGACACCGUUUUCUGCACUGAAAGGAGCCAGAACUUCAUGGACGUGAAAUCCUACGAGGAAAGCCAAUUAAGUCAUCAAGCCUUUGGCCCAAUUCACGAAGUUCACGGCCACUCCGUUGUCUCCGUUUCGUGUCUCUUCUCCUGGCUGAAAUCAGAGAAGCAGGAGCUCUACUGGUGGUGGGGGACUCAUCCCGUCUUCCGGUGUUUUGUGUCAUGUCGAUCCGUUAUCUCAUUGGUCCUGACUUCGACCACGUGACCCUGGGGACAGGCCCUUGCCUCGGGCACACCGGAUCCUCACCCAGGACCCUCUAAUCCCUCCCCUGUGCGCCCUGCCACCUGCUGGGCCAAGGUGGUUGGGAUUUCAGGCAGAUGAUGUCACCAACUCCUUGGCCCAUUUGAGAAAGGCCUGGAGAGUCUAUGCUCGUGAUUCCUAGGUCCCAAAGGACGAGCCAAGCCCAGGAGGACCUCAGUGCUGGAGAUGACAAAUGGAAGGACACACGCGCAUUGCCAGGUUUCUCACAGACAGAGAGGUCCCGUCGGCCCCCUCCCCGGUCUGGCCUGGCCUGUGACUGCUUUGACAAAUAGGGGACAGUGGAAGUGAUUCCAGGCUAGGGCUGUUAGGAAAAGGGCAGAACUCCCAGUUCAGCUCAAAUUUUGGAUAAACAACAGUUAUUUGGGGAUAAAUAUGCCCCAGGCAAUAUUUGAGACCUACCAUCUCAACAAUUACUAUUGUUCCUGUGAAAUUCCGAAUGUACUGGGCAUCUUACCUUUCUAUUUGCUAAAUCUAGCAACCCCACCCCAUUUCAAGACUAGCCUUUGAACAAACCAGAAUCCCCUGUCUUGUCCCCUUGUUGCCCUGAGCAGUCAUGGAACAAGCCUGAACUAGUCGGCUAGGGAACCGAUUGGAGGACAUGGAGGGGGCGCCUCUUGAGACCAGCCAUGCACCCCUCCCUGCCAAGGCGCCAAAC
rnacentral:lncRNA from 1 species